rnacentral:rRNA from 1 species
GACGAACGCUGGCGGCGUGCUUAACACAUGCAAGUCGAACGGAAAGGCCCUGCUUUUGUGGGGUGCUCGAGUGGCGAACGGGUGAGUAACACGUGAGUAACCUGCCCUUGACUUUGGGAUAACUUCAGGAAACUGGGGCUAAUACCUGAUAGGAGCUCCUGCUGCAUGGUGGGGGUUGGAAAGUUUCGGCGGUUGGGGAUGGACUCGCGGCUUAUCAGCUUGUUGGUGGGGUAGUGGCUUACCAAGGCUUUGACGGGUAGCCGGCCUGAGAGGGUGACCGGCCACAUUGGGACUGAGAUACGGCCCAGACUACUACGGGAGGCAGCAGUGGGGAAUAUUGCACAAUGGGCGGAAGCCUGGUGCAGCAACGCCGCGUGCGGGAUGACGGCCUUCGGGUUGUAAACCGCUUUCGCCUGUGACGAAGCGUGAGUGACGGUAAUGGGUAAAGAAGCACCGGCUAACUACGUG